rnacentral:rRNA from 1 species
GGGUUGUGAGGUUAAGCGACUAAGCGUACACGGUGGAUGCCCUGGCAGUCAGAGGCGAUGAAGGACGUGCUAAUCUGCGAUAAGCGUCGGUAAGGUGAUAUGAACCGUUAUAACCGGCGAUUUCCGAAUGGGGAAACCCAGUGUGAUUCGUCACACUAUCAUUAACUGAAUCCAUAGGUUAAUGAGGCGAACCGGGGGAACUGAAACAUCUAAGUACCCCGAGGAAAAGAAAUCAACCGAGAUUCCCCCAGUAGCGGCGAGCGAACGGGGAGCAGCCCAGAGCCUGAAUCAGUGUGUGUGUUAGUGGAAGCGUCUGGAAAGGCGCGCGAUACAGGGUGACAGCCCCGUACACAAAAAUGCACAUGCUGUGAGCUCGAUGAGUAGGGCGGGACACGUGGUAUCCUGUCUGAAUAUGGGGGGACCAUCCUCCAAGGCUAAAUACUCCUGACUGACCGAUAGUGAACCAGUACCGUGAGGGAAAGGCGAAAAGAACCCCGGCGAGGGGAGUGAAAAAGAACCUGAAACCGUGUACGUACAAGCAGUGGGAGCACAGAGCAAUCUGUGUGACUGCGUACCUUUUGUAUAAUGGGUCAGCGACUUAUAUUCUGUAGCAAGGUUAACCGAAUAGGGGAGCCGAAGGGAAACCGAGUCUUAACUGGGCGUUAAGUUGCAGGGUAUAGACCCGAAACCCGGUGAUCUAGCCAUGGGCAGGUUGAAGGUUGGGUAACACUAACUGGAGGACCGAACCGACUAAUGUUGAAAAAUUAGCGGAUGACUUGUGGCUGGGGGUGAAAGGCCAAUCAAACCGGGAGAUAGCUGGUUCUCCCCGAAAGCUAUUUAGGUAGCGCCUCGUGAAUUCAUCUCCGGGGGUAGAGCACUGUUUCGGCAAGGGGGUCAUCCCGACUUACCAACCCGAUGCAAACUGCGAAUACCGGAGAAUGUUAUCACGGGAGACACACGGCGGGUGCUAACGUCCGUCGUGAAGAGGGAAACAACCCAGACCGCCAGCUAAGGUCCCAAAGUCAUGGUUAAGUGGGAAACGAUGUGGGAAGGCCCAGACAGCCAGGAUGUUGGCUUAGAAGCAGCCAUCAUUUAAAGAAAGCGUAAUAGCUCACUGGUCGAGUCGGCCUGCGCGGAAGAUGUAACGGGGCUAAACCAUGCACCGAAGCUGCGGCAGCGACGCUUAUGCGUUGUUGGGUAGGGGAGCGUUCUGUAAGCCUGUGAAGGUGUACUGUGAGGUAUGCUGGAGGUAUCAGAAGUGCGAAUGCUGACAUAAGUAACGAUAAAGCGGGUGAAAAGCCCGCUCGCCGGAAGACCAAGGGUUCCUGUCCAACGUUAAUCGGGGCAGGGUGAGUCGACCCCUAAGGCGAGGCCGAAAGGCGUAGUCGAUGGGAAACAGGUUAAUAUUCCUGUACUUGGUGUUACUGCGAAGGGGGGACGGAGAAGGCUAUGUUGGCCGGGCGACGGUUGUCCCGGUUUAAGCGUGUAGGCUGGUUUUCCAGGCAAAUCCGGAAAAUCAAGGCUGAGGCGUGAUGACGAGGCACUACGGUGCUGAAGCAACAAAUGCCCUGCUUCCAGGAAAAGCCUCUAAGCAUCAGGUAACAUCAAAUCGUACCCCAAACCGACACAGGUGGUCAGGUAGAGAAUACCAAGGCGCUUGAGAGAACUCGGGUGAAGGAACUAGGCAAAAUGGUGCCGUAACUUCGGGAGAAGGCACGCUGAUAUGUAGGUGAAGUCCCUCGCGGAUGGAGCUGAAAUCAGUCGAAGAUACCAGCUGGCUGCAACUGUUUAUUAAAAACACAGCACUGUGCAAACACGAAAGUGGACGUAUACGGUGUGACGCCUGCCCGGUGCCGGAAGGUUAAUUGAUGGGGUCAGCGCAAGCGAAGCUCUUGAUCGAAGCCCCGGUAAACGGCGGCCGUAACUAUAACGGUCCUAAGGUAGCGAAAUUCCUUGUCGGGUAAGUUCCGACCUGCACGAAUGGCGUAAUGAUGGCCAGGCUGUCUCCACCCGAGACUCAGUGAAAUUGAACUCGCUGUGAAGAUGCAGUGUACCCGCGGCAAGACGGAAAGACCCCGUGAACCUUUACUAUAGCUUGACACUGAACAUUGAGCCUUGAUGUGUAGGAUAGGUGGGAGGCUUGGAAGUGUGGACGCCAGUCUGCAUGGAGCCGACCUUGAAAUACCACCCUUUAAUGUUUGAUGUUCUAACGUUGACCCGUGAUCCGGGUUGCGGACAGUGUCUGGUGGGUAGUUUGACUGGGGCGGUCUCCUCCUAAAGAGUAACGGAGGAGCACGAAGGUUGGCUAAUCCUGGUCGGACAUCAGGAGGUUAGUGCAAUGGCAUAAGCCAGCUUGACUGCGAGCGUGACGGCGCGAGCAGGUGCGAAAGCAGGUCAUAGUGAUCCGGUGGUUCUGAAUGGAAGGGCCAUCGCUCAACGGAUAAAAGGUACUCCGGGGAUAACAGGCUGAUACCGCCCAAGAGUUCAUAUCGACGGCGGUGUUUGGCACCUCGAUGUCGGCUCAUCACAUCCUGGGGCUGAAGUAGGUCCCAAGGGUAUGGCUGUUCGCCAUUUAAAGUGGUACGCGAGCUGGGUUUAGAACGUCGUGAGACAGUUCGGUCCCUAUCUGCCGUGGGCGCUGGAGAACUGAGGGGGGCUGCUCCUAGUACGAGAGGACCGGAGUGGACGCAUCACUGGUGUUCGGGUUGUCAUGCCAAUGGCACUGCCCGGUAGCUAAAUGCGGAAGAGAUAAGUGCUGAAAGCAUCUAAGCACGAAACUUGCCCCGAGAUGAGUUCUCCCUGACUCCUUGAGAGUCCUGAAGGAACGUUGAAGACGACGACGUUGAUAGGCCGGGUGUGUAAGCGCAGCGAUGCGUUGAGCUAACCGGUACUAAUGAACCGUGAGGCUUAACCUUACAACGCCGAAGGUGUUU